rnacentral:rRNA from 1 species
AACGAACGCUGGCGGCAUGCCUAACACAUGCAAGUCGAACGAAGGCUUCGGCCUUAGUGGCGCACGGGUGAGUAACACGUGGGAAUUUGCCUUUCGGUUCGGGAUAACGUCUGGAAACGGACGCUAACACCGGAUACGCCCUUCGGGGGAAAGUUUACGCCGAGAGAGACGCCCGCGUCCGAUUAGGUAGUUGGUGGGGUAAUGGCCUACCAAGCCGACGAUCGGUAGCUGGUCUGAGAGGAUGAUCAGCCACACUGGGACUGAGACACGGCCCAGACUCCUACGGGAGGCAGCAGUGGGGAAUAUUGGACAAUGGGGGCAACCCUGAUCCAGCAAUGCCGCGUGAGUGAUGAAGGCCUUAGGGUUGUAAAGCUCUUUCGCACGCGACGAUGAUGACGGUAGCGUGAGAAGAAGCCCCGGCUAACUUCGUGCCAGCCGCCGCCGUAA